GCCCGCACCGGGCGUGCGCCAGCGCCGCGCCCUGCGGGGCCGGGAGGAGGGACAGCGGCACCGACCUGCCGAACUGCAGCGGGAAGCGGCCGCGGAUGCGGUGGAAGAGCUUCUCUCCCGUGUCCAGCUCCACGUAGAAGUAAGGCGUCCCCGGCUGCACCACCUGCGGGAGGGGGGAGAGGUGGGGAGAAAAGGCCACUGCAGCCCCGCAGCUCAGACCGGUUCUACCCACCCGCAAACCGGAUGGCAUCUGGACAAGAGCUGGUGUAUUCCAACUACAGAGGCUUUUCUUGAGAGAGGAAACUGGACAAAGCAAACCGCACACCACCACACGCCCCCCCUGCCCCCACCCCCAAAGUGCAUCAGCAGUUAACACUAAACCAAAACUUCCAAGGGACAAUGAAGUGGUGGAUCGCUCUCUGCUGGGGUCAUCGGUGGAUGAUGCAUACACGGCACUACUCAAAGAUUUUGUGGUUCAAUUCUGUAGUUACCACUACAGUCACUACAGGAGAGAAUGGCACAGUUCUGAUCCUUCUUAACCCGAGCUAAGCUAUUCCAUAGCAAUGCAGUAUAUUUUACGGAAGAAAAGCAUCAGCCUCUACACUUGCCAACUUGGGGAUCAACAACUGCAAUGGCUUAGAAUAAGACCAGCAUGUACACCUACUAUUGCUGGCUCCUGCUGCAGAUGAGGUCUGUCUGUGACUACUGAGCUUAAAGGAAAAAAACUCUAUGGCACUACUGACUCAUUUUUCUAAGGUAACAGGAACAUUUGUUUCAAAUUCUCAUCCAAAGGAAUCUAAAGCUACUUGAUAUGCAGUGGCACUGGAAGAGGGUUAGUGUUUGGUAUCAGAAGGAACUAACUCAGCAAACCCUACACAUGGCUGGAAUAAUUUCCUGAUAAGCAUCUGUUCAGAUAACAUCUGUUGUUCGAAGGCACUUCGAGCAGAACACAUCUCCGUAUCAGAUCUACAACGGUCUGCCUCCAACAACUUAAUCACACAAAGUGACUGCAGAGGGAAAGUGCAGCCAAUAUAAGACAGAGAGAAAGUAACAGAAGUACAGCGGUCCAAUGGGACAGGAAUCACCUGAAGGAGGAGAACAACAUUUCUGUCUAAAGAGGAAAAGACAAAACAAACCACUUGCAGAAAGCAGACAGUCCAUCACUGGAGCUGGUGUGCUCCUCAGUACUGCUCAGAAUCAUCAUAACAGACAGGAGGAUCUGGCAUAACUCCAGAUAGUGCAUCCUGCUGCCAAAGCCAGUCCCACUUUACACCAAGUUCAUGCUGGAAAAGUUCUGCCAGCCAGUGCCAAAGAUGUUAACCUCUCAACAGACUCACACAGAGGCUGAAACCACUUGACUAAGUGACCGUAUAUUGCAAAAUGCCACUAGAAGGCUUUAAAGAUGUAGAAGAAAACACUUGAGGACUGUAAAGACCGGGGAUGCUCACACAAGCUUAGUAUGGCUCCCUCACAAAAGCACAACUGCAGUCUGCAAUCCAACCCAUGCUGGAAGAACUGGCACGUACAGCAGCAGGAUUUUUCUCAGUAAACUUCACAAACUUUCACACCUACCUUCAAUUGGAUAUUGAAGCUCAAAGCACAAGAAUUUUUGCUUCCAUCAAGUUAUUAACUGUUUGGUCUAUUUAAAACCUUAGUGGCAGGGGCUGAACACUAUGUAUGGCAAUUCUCAGCUGGAGGCAGGGAGGUUGUCCCAGCUAAAAGGAUCAGGAGCUGCUUGCCACCCUUGUGUCCACCCAUGCUGACAGCCCUUUGCUUUGUGGGCAUGCUCCACGGAGAAAGACUGGAGAGCAGGGCUUAGUGCUUGCACUUCCUACCUGACACACCGCUUCAGUAAAGCCAAAGAUAAGCCAAACUUCAGGCUGAGUAUUCCGUUCACCCAAUGAUUUCCCAAUUUGUUUUCUCUACAUUGCAUUAAGAUAUAUAGGCAUAGCUCUUCAUGUGUUUCCAGUGGGAGCAUAUAUCACAAUGCUCAGAAGGCAAAACAUGCUAUGCACAGGGAAAUAAUCUGACUCUCUACACCAAUGAACACAAUCCAGUUGUCUGAUAAGCAACUUACAAAGUUGUAGAUUUCAAAACUCCUGACACCAACACAGUGUUCAGAUCCCAAGAAGGAACUCCUUGCCCUCAGGUGGCAAGUAAUCAAUAUUUAAAGGAGCAUGGAUGAGCUAGAUAUAGGACUCCAGGUCGGGUUUCAUGAGAGCAGAGCAGAGGGGCAGUAUCCUCUCCCCUGGCCUGCUGGUCACACUGCUUUUGGUCCAGCCCAGGAUAUGGUUGGCUUAAGGGGCCAACUGUAACAAUCUCCCAGCUAUAAAAUUUGGUUCAUGCAUACAGUUUACACAGAACCUUGGAAGUGACCAAAGAACAGCAACAGCCCAAGGCUAGGCCCAAACACUGUCCUAAGCUCCCUGACCAUGGAGAAGAAAAGCAGAGUGCACACAUGGGUGAGAAGGCAGCGUACCUCUGCACACAGGGCUGUCUCCGUGUGCUGCACCUCCUUCCGCCAUUUUUGGUAUGGGUUUUCAGUGACAUCCUGUGGCUGUUUCACCAGCUCUGCAGGGUCCAUCGAGCUCAUUGGCACAAUGGUGAAAGCGUAGAGAUACUAUAACAAAAACAGAUAUCUCAAAUGCAAAAAGUUCUUGCCAUUACCAACUCUGAAGAGGUCAGCUGUGAACUAAGCCACCCUGAAACACUGACACACUUAGCACUGCAAGAACUCAGCAAAUCAGUGCUUAAGCUAGGGCAGGACAUGAACAACACACUCCCUGUGCCAAUCUCCCACCCAGUGCAACCAAGAGUUUAUGCAUUGCUUCCAAGUGGCUCACUGCUUUCACAUUAAGGAAAGACCUCUUUGAAAAGCAGCAAUGUGUCCUGCUUGAAAAAGAAACAACCUUGAUCCUUGCCUGUUACCAGGCCUUCUUUCUGUCCAGAACUUCUUGACCUUUUUUUCUUACCAGACCUAUUUCCUAUGCCUUCUUAACCACUAUCAACCUGUUCUUCUAUAUCAAUAUUCUGUGAAAUUCAUAAGGUGAGAGAAGAAAGAGGUUAAAGAAACCAAAACAUCCCCUUUCCAUCCCAAAAGUUAGUUAUUUUUAGUGAUCUGUAAGGGGUCCUUUGGAAUUUCCCUUCCUUCUUCAAAACAGGUGACAUAAACCAAAAAUAUGUAAAGCAGCUGGGGAGGAGGAAGGAGCUUCUAACCACUUUCCUCUGCAGCCUUCUUCACAGUUAUGUGCCAUUUGACCAGGCAGACAAUAGAGAAGAACAACGGUGCCUAAGAGCACAUCUUGCAGCCCACCCUUCUGACAUAAUGGGCAAAUGGUAUCUAUUAGUCAAGUGAUGAAGGUCCCUCCAGUUCAAACAAGCUUUUAAGUGAUUGAUGCUGUCCUCUAGCUAGUCAAAGUUGGGCUUACUUUUUUGAGAAAAGAAGAAAGAUUCAGGAGUGUCAGUACCUUUCUCUUGCUUGCAUUGCCAACAUCAGCAAGUGCAAUAAACCUGCUCACAUGCUGUGGGGUCUCUUGUAGCACUAUAUGAUUUCUGUAAGGAAGCAAAACAUGGACUAUACUGGCAUAUACAAUAUAGAAAAGGAUAGGGGGAAACCACAAGUCCUCCAUGAAGCUACUCAAGAUAGCAUGUCAGCCACACAGUCUUUGGCUAAGAACAUGGAGGCUUGAGGACAGAUUCAUGAGAUCUAACAACAAAUAGCUGCACAGAUCCAAAUGAUGUCUCACUGCAGUUCAAAUAUAGAGCUGAGAGGACAAAACACUAGGCUGAGAAGAGCUCCACUUUUAAAGUGUUUCCUGCAUAAGAGGUAAUAAUCUUACUCAACAUUAUCACAACAGCCUGAAUUUUAUUUGUAGGUUGUUCUGACACCUACCUUACAUCACUAGUCACAUUUUAUGUACCAAGUUAUGACUGACGAUACCAGUCUCUUCACCACACAAGAUCUUUUCCAUGAUACAUUUUAUCCCUAAAUAAGGCUGAACACUUUAAAUGCAACCAAAGGCAUUAACAGAUUUAUAGCAAUGUACCCAGACAAGUAUUGUCAGCAAUGGCACAGUUUUUGUGGCAGCAGGAACUAUGUAAUAAGUUGCAUCUGAGAAACAAUCUUGACCCUGUGCUGGGACUGGAUGAUUCCAUAAAAUAAUGUUAAAGUUGUCCUCCUGUGUUCUAUAUAAAAUGGACUCCUAUUAGAAAAUAAAGGAGAUUUCACAUGGUCUUACAAA